rnacentral:rRNA from 1 species
GGAUGGCCCUGUUGCAGGACUAAAGACCGCUUUCUAAUCCAUUGAUCUUCGGAUUAAUAUUCAUAACAUCUGGCCUCAAAUCAGGUAGGACUACCCGCUGAACUUAAGCAUAUCAAUAAGCGGAGGAAAAGAAACUAACAAGGAUUCCCCUAGUAACGGCGAGUGAAGCGGGAAGAGCUCAAAUUUGAAAUCUGGUAGCCUUCGGUUGCCCGAGUUGUAAUCUAGAGAAGUGUUUUCCGCGUUGGCCCAUGUACAAGUCCCUUGGAACAGGGCGUCAUAGAGGGUGAGAAUCCCGUCCUUGACAUGGACCCCCAAUGCUUUGUGAUACACUUUCAACGAGUCGAGUUGUUUGGGAAUGCAGCUCAAAAUGGGUGGUGAAUUCCAUCUAAAGCUAAAUAUUGGCGAGAGACCGAUAGCGAACAAGUACCGUGAGGGAAAGAUGAAAAGCACUUUGGAAAGAGAGUUAAACAGUACGUGAAAUUGUUGAAAGGGAAACGAUUGAAGUCAGUCAUGCUCUUUGGAUUAAGCCGUUCUGCGGUGUAUUUCAUUGAGCGGGGUCAACAUCAGUUUUGAUCGCUGGAAAAGGGCAGGAGGAAGGUAGCACUCUCGGGUGAACUUAUAGCCUCUUGUCGUAUACAGUGAUUGGGACUGAGGAACGCAGCAUGCCUUUUGGCCGGGAUUCGUCCACGUACAUGCUUAGGAUGU